GCCCCAGGCCCUACGGGGCGCAGCAGGUGCGAAAAUUCCGCAAUGCGUGCAAGCGCGACGGAGUGACCCCCAGUGCCGAUGGUCUAACGAUCGUCGGCUUUUCUGGAGUGUAAAAAGCUCUGGGUAAUAAGGGCCGGGUAAGACUGGUACCAGCCGCCGCGGUAACACCAGCGGCUCAAGUGGUAGUCGAUUUUAUUGGGUCUAAAGCGUCCGUAGCCGGAUCGUCAAGUCCCUUGUGAAAUCGGGCGGCUUAACCGCUCGGCUUGCAAGAGAAACUGACGUUCUUGGGGUCGGCAGGCGCCGAGGGUACUCCGGAGGUAGCGGUGAAAUGCUAUAAUCUUCGGGGGACCGCCGGUGGCGAAAGCGCUCGGCGGGGCCGAACCUCGACGGUGAGGGACGAAGGCCAGGGGAGCGAACCGGAUUAGAUACCCGGGUAGUCCUGGCUGUAAAGUAUGUGGGCCAGGUGCCAGACGUUCCUCGAGAGCGCUUGGUGCCGAAGGGAAGCCGUUAAGCCCACCACCUGGGGAGUACGGUCGCAAGACUGAAACUUAAAGAAAUUGGCGGGGGAGCACCACAAGGGGUGGAGCCUGCGGUUUAAUUGGAUUCAACGCCGGACAUCUCACCGGGGGCGACGGCAGAGUGAAGGCCAAGUUGACGACUUUGCCGGACUCGCCGAGAGGUGGUGCAUGGCCGCCGUCAGCUCGUAUCGUGAGACGUCCUGUCAAGUCAGGUAACGAGCGAGACCCUUAUCCUUAGUUGCCAGCGGAUCCCUCUGGGAUGCCGGGCACUCUAAGGAGACCGCUGUCGAUAAGGCAGAGGAAGGAGAGGGCGACGGUAGGUCCGUAUGCCCCGAAUCCCCCGGGCAACACGCGGGCUACAAUGCGCGGGACAGAGGGCUGUGACCCCGAGAGGGGAAGCCGAUCCCUAAACCUGCGCCUAGUUCGGAUCGAGGGCUGCAACUCGCCCUCGUGAAGCUGGAAUCCCUAGUAAUCGCGUGUCACUAUCGCG
rnacentral:rRNA from 1 species